GAUGAACGCUGGCGGCGUGCCUAAUACAUGCAAGUCGAGCGAACAGAUAAGGAGCUUGCUCCUUUGACGUUAGCGGCGGACGGGUGAGUAACACGUGGGUAACCUACCUAUAAGACUGGGAUAACUUCGGGAAACCGGAGCUAAUACCGGAUAAUAUUUCGAACCGCAUGGUUCGAUAGUGAAAGAUGGUUUUGCUAUCACUUAUAGAUGGACCCGCGCCGUAUUAGCUAGUUGGUAAGGUAACGGCUUACCAAGGCGACGAUACGUAGCCGACCUGAGAGGGUGAUCGGCCACACUGGAACUGAGACACGGUCCAGGCUCCUACGGGAGGCAGCAGUAGGGAAUCUUCCGCAAUGGGCGAAAGCCUGACGGAGCAACGCCGCGUGAGUGAUGAAGGUCUUCGGAUCGUAAAACUCUGUUAUUAGGGAAGAACAUACGUGUAAGUAACUGUGCACGUCUUGACGGUACCUAAUCAGAAAGCCACGGCUAACUACGUG
rnacentral:rRNA from 1 species